rnacentral:sRNA from 1 species
UUCAAAAUUCCAAGGAGUAUGCUAAUGUUUAUGCUAUCACCAUAAGGAGUGGACGAGAGUUAUACACUAGAGAGAGACCCAAGUCAGUCACUGAGGACAGUGCAUACCAAGAUGGGGAGGAUUUCAGUCUCAAUAAAGAU